CGGAGACAUAUAAAGCCUUGAGAGGGCUCGCGCGCUCUUUCGCUUGUACGUUCGGAGCGUGACCUGAUAACUACUAUUAAAAUGAAGAUGAAAUUCAGAGAGCAGCUGGGACGCAUUUGGCAUUGGAUCUUGAGUUUCUAAUUCCUAACAUGCAUCAACAGUGAUAUGGGAGAAGUCUUAAGACCAAUGACAGCCAUUAUGUCUGCUGAAAAAAAGUGUUGAAGUCGAAGGGAAACGUAAUCUGAAGUUGGCUUGGCAGAAGUUAGCAUCAUGCAUGAACUCUGAAGAUUUGAAGAAAAUCAGCGCAUUAAAAAUGUACAACUCUUUAUUAAUACCAGAAUGUGUUGUAAUUGUGGCCCUAUGCAAUAAGUUAUAAAAAUAAAGAUUUAAUGCACCA